UUUACAGCAGAGGAGUCAGUUCAAGGGCAUAAAAAAAGGUAACAUGCUAAGAAAAAAAAAUAGCCCGCUACUCACUGCUCCUAAAAAGAGUUAGAGGAGUGGCCGAAAGAUGGGUCAAUUUCGGGAGGAGAGGUGUCCUGAUAGAGUAAGUCGCUUGAUCAUACAACUCUAUCACUUACCCCGUCCACCUCUGAUAGUGUGUACAAAGGGAGAUAGAGAAAGGCGUUUACUCUCACCUUGUCAUCUUUAAGUCAUUGCAUCAGCCACUUUGUUUGCGAGUAUGAAACGAAGGUGAAGGAGAAGGAGGAGCUCUCAUUGCCAGUAAGGUAACGUGCGAGUUUAUUUUCAUCGUCUGUCACCCGUCUCUGCUUGUGGGUUCAAAUGAAGCAGCAGCAGCAGAAGAAGAGGAAGGGUGUAGCUGUUUACUUUCAUCUAUCUCUGCUUAUAGGGAAGGCGAGGAGGAAGAGGAAGGUAGUGUAGAUGAAUAGGAAGGGGAGGAAAGAGGAAGGGGAAGAAGAAGAUAGUGUAGGUGAAGAGGAAGGGGAGUAAAGAGGAAGGUAGCGUAGGUGGAGAGGAAGGUAUCGUACGGCAGCUGUUUAUUUUCAUCGCUUUUCCCCUCCGUCCUUGCUCGUGGAUGGAAGACGUCUCAUCAGUAAGAAGUCAACGUUCACCUUUGCUUACGAGAAUAAAUGAAGGUGUGAAGGGGAGGAGGGAGGUGAGGUAAGGCGCUCGUCUCAUUGCAAAUACUUCAACGAUCACCCUUGCUUUGAAUAAAUUAGGUGGGGAGGAGGUGGAGGAAGAUACCAUAGUCUCAUUACGAGUGAUUCAACGAACACCCUUGCUUACGAGAAUAAAAAUAAUGAGAUGCGAGGAGAAGGUAUGUCGCUGUACACGAGAAUAAAAAUAAUGAGAUGCGAGGAGAAGGUAUGUCGCUGUACACGAGAAUAAAAAUAAUGAGAUGUGAGGAGAAGGUAUGUCGCUGUACACGAGAAUAAAAAUAAUGAGAUGUGAGGAGAAGGUAUGUCGCUGUACACGAGAAUAAAAAUAAUGAGAUGCGAGGAGAAGGUAUGUCGCUGUACACGAGAAUAAAAAUAAUGAGAUGUGAGGAGAAGGUAUGUCGCUGUACACGAGAAUAAAAAUAAUGAGAUGCGAGGAGAAGGUAUGUCGCUGUACACUUAAGUUCCGUUUCUUUGGUCGGUGAUUCUGAGAUACAAGUGCGCAGGGAGGAGAUGAAGAGAGCAUAAUAGUCUCAUUGCGAAUACUUCAACGCCCACCCUUGCUUGCGGGAAUAAAUGAGGUGGGAGAGGAGGAGGGGGAGGCGUCUCAUCAGGAGUAUGUAUGGACAGCAGCGGCUCCGUCAAGGUGGUGGCGUCGUCCGCUCCCCAAGCAGGUGAAGAUCAAGGUAAACUGCGACAUGCCCAAGGAAGUUUAAAUCCGUCCACGUGCCCUGCUCCUCUCCGCUAAUGCAAUCACAACACGCGGAGGCGGCGACGCGCGGCGGUAUGUUGGAGUGCUGUUGUGCCGCCCCAAGCCUGCCGCCAGAAGCUCUCCUGGUGGCGUGGCGUUGUGAAUGAUGGAUCGUGGUAAAAGGAACUAACUACUAACGGGGAGCAAAAGAAACGAAGGGAUGAAUAAUAGAAUCCAGGCAUAAUAAUGACUAAUGAUUGAUGCUGAAAUGAAUAUAAACGAUAAAUAAUACUUUCAGGACUCGGUAAAAUAAUAAAAUAAAAGAGUAUACAUAGACGUAAUGAAGGGAAAGAAGAACAAAAUAAUUCCAUCAAUAAUCAUGAACAGUAAUGGUAAUGGAAAAAGGAAUCUUAUUGACCCGUAACACUGAGUUCAAUAAAAAGAAAAAUAGAUUAGCAAAGUAAAAAAAAAAUGUAAUUAUAUCAGCAAAAACAACAAAUAACAGUGAUAAUGAUGAAACAAACUUAACCACUUACUCCAUAUCCCCUAAAGAACUCACAAACAACCACGAUCAAUAUUCAACUACGCUUUUAAGUCAAGGAUAUCGACAACGGCAAUACCCAGCAGCCAUCACCUAGUUACCAAAGUCGGUCAGUGCCUCCUCCCCUACACCGCCUCAUCAACCAUCCUCUCUUAUCAGUAUCAGCGUGUCCAGACGACGCGGCUGCUUGUAUGGACGAGUUGUCGCUUUUCUGGUUGACAUCAGCGCCUCGAGGUUGUCAUACGAGACGAUAAACACGAAGCAGAAGACAGACAACGUGCGUGAAUUUUGAAAUAGUGAUGGCGUUGUUGACUUCGAUUGGCGUUAGCAUGAAGAAUGCCUCGGGACCACGCGCGCUCGAGGUCACCAGAAAAUAGUGUGAAGAGUAGUAAAUAAAGGAAGGGAGGGAGGCAUGUUUUGUUGACCGGGAUGGAAGGUAGAGUGAAGUUAGAAAGAAAAACAAACUAUCAAGGUCGCUAGGAUGUAAAAAAGAUGACAUUUAUAAAAGGAAGGUGGCGUAGAUGAAGAGGAAGGAAAAGAAAGUGAAAGGUAGCGGAGGUGAAGAAGGGGAAGAAGAUAGUGUGGGUGAAGAGGAAGGGGAGUAAAGAGGAAGGUAGCGUAGCUGAAGAGGAAGGGGAAGAAGAUAGCGUAGUUGAAGAGGAAGUGGAUGAAGAUAGUGUAGGUGAAGAGGAAGGGGAGUAAAGAGGAAGGUAGCGUAGCUGAAGAGGAAAGGGAUGAAGAUAGUGUAGGUGAAGAGGAAGGGGAAGAAGAAGAUAGCGUAGUUGAAGAGGAAGUGGAUGAAGAUAGUGUAGGUGAAGAGGAAGGGGAGUAAAUAGACAAUUAAAGGAAGGAAGAGCGCCAUCGUUAGGUACCAGGAAUCAAAAGAGUGUAAAUAAGUAAGUAAAUAAAGGAUGAAAGAUAGACAUAUUUUGUUGAUUUUGACGUUAGCAUGAAGAGUAACUCGGAACCACACCAUAUCGAACUCACCAGGAAGUAAAAGAGUGUGUAUAAAAAUAAAUAGACGAGUAAAGGAAUACAGCAAGGGACUUUUUUGUUGACUUAGACGUUAGAAUAAAAAGUGAAGAAGAAAACAAGCUACCGAGGCCACCAUAGAGUAAAAGUCUAUAGAAAUGAAUAAAAAAAAAAUAAAAGAUGAAAGGAAGGAAUGCAUAUUGUAUACGUAAAAAAAUGUGUCAGGGAGGAAAACAUAGGAGAAAGGAGUCCGUUAUCAGCUGAGUAUUGCGUUUCAGCCAGGUCGAUUACUUCAUGGUUAAGGAAGUGGCCAGUGGCAACGCGAUUAGAUACCCAAAUAAACGAACAGAUACCUAAACAGAACCAGUGAAGAGUAGUUUUAUGAGUCAUGUUCAGAGUCGGUCACUAGCCUCACGUUCGCCCUCAGUAAUUGCCAUGGUUCAAUUAAAGGAUAGAAUAUAGAUGUAAAUAAAUAAAUAAAAUAUGGAAGUAAAAUCAAAAGGCAUGAUGCAGGAUACGCUUGGGAACUAUUAGACAUUGUUCAUUUUUUUGCUUUUAUAAUGAACACCGAACGCUAUUUACAUAAUACCGAUUUUUUUUUCUGUAGUGAAUGUUUUUUUCUAUUUUUUUCUUUUUAGCUGAGAAACCCACUGUGUUAAACUAUAUUCUCCAUAAUGGUCAUGAUAAAAAAAUCUUGUAUAGUUUCCUCACUUUUUUUUUAGCAACCAUAUGACCACCAAACUAUUUGUACAAGGAUUUUAAUUUUAUUUUUAGUAUUUUAUUUUAAAACUUACAAACAAACCCACCGUCUCAAACUACAUUCUCCAUAAUGAUCAUACUAAUAAUUUCCUCUUUUUUUUUUUUUUUUGGCUUCUAUAUUAUUAGCAUCGAACUCUAUUUAUACAGGGAUUUGCCAUCGUUUGUUAUUUAUUUAUUUUUAGCUUCUUAACGAUCCCGCUGUGUCAAACUGUGGAUCUGACUUAAUAUGUAGCAUAGCAUUUUUUUUUUUUUUUUUUUUUUUUUUUUAGCUUUUAUAUGAACACAAAACGUUAUCUAUCUGUACAGUUUUUUAUCGUCUCUAGUAUUUGUUUUUCGAGUUCACAAUCACUCAUUUUUUUAGCUUUUUUAUGAACACAAAACGUUAUCUAUCUAUACUGUUUUUUAUCGUCUCUAGUAUUUGUUUUUCGAGUUCACAAUCCCUCUGUGUCAAACGGUGUAACCCAAUAAUUUUACGUAGCAUUCUUUCUCGGCCGGUUCGCCUCCCGGGAAGUGCAGGACAGGUGCCAAACUCUGCUGCGUCUCCUCUAUACCGCUGAGAAAGGGAUAUUCAGUUACUUUUUUGUCUUGUUAUUUUCUUUCGUUAUUUCGUGAGGCCAAUCCAGUCAAGGGAAUGAAUGAGAACAGGAUGAUAAGAAUAGAACUAAACCUUAAAUUAUUUCUCCCGUUAUUGUUCUUCUUUUUCUUCCUCUUGCUCUUAUUUAUUCUUCUUGCUCUUGUUCUUGUUCUCCUUGUUCUUGCUCUUCUUCUUCGUCUUCUUCUUCUUCUUCUUCUUUCUCUUUUUUUUCUUUCUUAGUAGUAGUAGUAUUAGUAGUAGUAGUGGUGACAUACUUUUCCUACUGUAUAAGAUUGCGGAAAAAAAGAUCCCAAAACAGUCCUUGAAAAUCCCAGCGCCACUUCAUAACGAGAGGCUCUUCAAACAGGCGAACUGAGAGGCGCCCCGAUACGGCUAAUAAGAAUAAAAGCUACACACCAAGCACUCAAACGUAUAUAUACACACCAAAAGAGUCGCAGGAUCAGAGUGCCAAGGGGAAAGGGAAGGGGGGGAGAGGGGAAUGGGGGAGUUGCCACACCACUUCUCUUAUAAGACUUGGAGUUCCUAAUUAGUAACCGCAUGACGUGUGUGUGUGUGUGUGCGUGUUUACAGUCAGCUAGUGGGGCCGGUGCAAGGUCGCAUACCAUCCUACUACCAGCGCCUCUGUGUGUGUGUGUGUGUGUGUGUGUGUGUGUGUCCGAUUGCAUUGUGUCCGUACCUUUUGCGUUGUGUGUGUGUUGUGUUGCGCUGAGUCGAUCAUUGCGUUGCUAUUGUUUUAUGAGGUGUGUUGUUUUGUGUUGAGGCCGAUCACUGUAUUGUUGCUGUUGUGUUGCUAAUGUCUUGUGUUAUGGCGACCACCUUAUUGCUUGUGUUGUUUUGUGCUGAGGCGAUCAUUGUGUUUCCUUGAGAGUGUUGUUUUGAUGUGUCAGGUUGUUUUGUGAGUUGCUCUGUUGAAGUGCUGUGUUGGAGAGGCAAUCAGUGUUACGAGUUUUGUUGGUGUGUUGCAUGAAAGCUUGUUGUUGGUGAUGUAUGCUGGAAGUGCUAUAUAUAUUUGUGUUGUUGUUAGUGUGUUUGAAGUCGAUUUCGUGACGCAGAAUUGAAAGGUGUUUGUGUUCUGGUGUUGCAUAA